UACGUAGGGGGCAAGCGUUGUCCGGAAUCAUUGGGCGUAAAGAGCGUGUAGGCGGUCCGGUAAGUCCGCUGUGAAAGUCGGGGGCUCAACCCUCGAAUGCCGGUGGAUACUGUCGGGCUAGAGUGCGGAAGAGGCGAGUGGAAUUCCUGGUGUAGCGGUGGAAUGCGCAGAUAUCAGGAGGAACACCAAUAGCGAAGGCAGCUCGCUGGGACGGUACUGACGCUAAGGCGCGAAAGCGUGGGGAGCGAACAGG
rnacentral:rRNA from 1 species